UGGGGAAUAUUGCACAAUGGGCGCAAGCCUGAUGCAGCCAUGCCGCGUGUAUGAAGAAGGCCUUCGGGUUGUAAAGUACUUUCAGCGGGGAGGAAGGGAGUAAAGUUAAUACCUUUGCUCAUUGACGUUACCCGCAGAAGAAGCACCGGCUAACUCCGUGCCAGCAGCCGCGGUAAUACGGAGGGUGCAAGCGUUAAUCGGAAUUACUGGGCGUAUAGCGCACGCAGGCGGUUUGUUAAGUCAGAUGUGAAAUCCCCGGGCUCAACCUGGGAACUGCAUCUGAUACUGGCAAGCUUGAGUCUCGUAGAGGGGGGUAGAUUUCCAGGUGUAGCGGUGAAAUGCGUAGAGAUCUGGAGGAAUACCGGUGGCGAAGGCGGCCCCCUGGACGAAGACUGACGCUCAGGUGCGAAAGCGUGGGGAGCAAACAGG
rnacentral:rRNA from 1 species